UACGAAGGGGGCUAGCGUUGCUCGGAAUCACUGGGCGUAAAGCGCACGUAGGCGGAUUGUUAAGUCAGGGGUGAAAUCCUGGAGCUCAACUCCAGAACUGCCUUUGAUACUGGCGAUCUCGAGUCCGGAGAGGUGAGUGGAACUGCGAGUGUAGAGGUGAAAUUCGUAGAUAUUCGCAAGAACACCAGUGGCGAAGGCGGCUCACUGGCCCGGUACUGACGCUGAGGUGCGAAAGCGUGGGGAG
rnacentral:rRNA from 1 species